AUGCAAUGAACUUAAAAUUCAUUAAUAAAGAAAAAUCUUUUUUUAGAA
rnacentral:tRNA from 1 species